AUUGAACGCUGGCGGCAUGCUUUACACAUGCAAGUCGAACGGUAACAGGCCUUCGGGUGCUGACGAGUGGCGAACGGGUGAGUAAUGCAUCGGAACGUGCCCAGAGGUGGGGGAUAACGCAGCGAAAGCUGUGCUAAUACCGCAUGUGAUCUGAGGAUGAAAGCGGGGGACCAGGCAGCAAUGUUUGGCCUCGCGCCUUUGGAGCGGCCGAUGUCAGAUUAGGUAGUUGGUGGGGUAAAGGCCUACCAAGCCGACGAUCUGUAGCUGGUCUGAGAGGACGACCAGCCACACUGGGACUGAGACACGGCCCAGACUCCUACGGGAGGCAGCAGUGGGGAAUUUUGGACAAUGGGCGCAAGCCUGAUCCAGCAAUGCCGCGUGCGGGAAGAAGGCCUUCGGGUCGUAAACCGCUUUUGUACGGAACGAAAAGGCUCUGGCUAAUACCUGGGGCUGAUGACGGUACCGUAAGAAUAAGCACCGGCUAACUACGUG
rnacentral:rRNA from 1 species